UGAUGCUAGGCAUUGACUUCUCACUAGCUAUGAAAGUCCUAGUUAGAGAGAAGUCAAUGCAUGACAUCUU
rfam:Macaca mulatta chromosome 1, whole genome shotgun sequence.